AGUGCAUGGCAGGCCCCCGCAGAGGAUCAGUGCAGUGGCUGAACACCGGGAAGGAACUGGCGCUUGGAGUCCAGAUAUCUGGAAUACGGACUGAGCUCUGGGAUAAGAACAAAUGAGGAAGAGACAGUCACUGCCCUGGCAGCAAACACCCAUGGCCAGGGUUCCUCUAUCCAUCUGUGGGAAGACCCCAAGUUUGAUACUGAAGAUGUUAAACCAUCUCCAAAGAAAUACAGAAAUAUAUGGAUUCACCGUAGAAGCUGGACCCAGCUCCUCAGAUGCAGCAGAUGGAUUGGCCCACUCUGUAAUGACCCAGGAUGGGGCGGGUGUUCUUCUGCAUGGUGACUGAGAAUGUGAGCCUCAGAAUGAAAUACAGAGAAAUGCAUCUUACCAUCUCCGGUGUCAUGAGGUCUUCAAGAUGGACAGAUGGGUAUUCACUGAGAUCUUCGACCAAAUCUAGGAGAACAUAGUGACAGUCAGUGCAUUGGUGCUGCUGAGGAAUCCCACAAGGAGCCUUGGGGGAUGUGGACCGGGGCUGGAGUGUGUGGAGGUGGGCGGUUGACAAGCUUGGACCGAGCUGUUGCUGGACCAUUCUCCUUGGUGUUGAAGGAUGGCAAAGGAGAAGGGCAGAAGGAAAUGAAAGAGCCUUGGCUUUCUAGCUAGAGCAACUUCAUCAAUGCGAAAUAGUCACCUUAAGAACCGGUUAAUACAGAAAAGCACUGUACUAUAGAAACAGGAAGUACAUUUGUGGCUGCCUAGAUCCAGGGGCAUGGGAGAUGGGAAAAACAGGAGUGACUACUAGUGGGGUUUCUUUGAGGGGGGAAUAAAGAGGUUCUAAGAUGAGAUUGUAACAAUGGUUGCACAACCGUGUAAAUAUAGUAAAAACGCUGAAUCACGUACUUUAAAUGGGUGAGUUGUUUUGCAUGUCAACUAUGUCUAAAUAAAGCUGUUUAAAAAAAAAA